AACCAAUUAUAUUUAGGAUUAACUUGUUUGGCCAGGCUCAAAGCCAGGCCGCCCUCCAGCAGGUUUGUUAUAUUUGUCUCUCAUUGCCGCCUCUCUCAUUGCCUUCUCUGUCUCUCUCUCAUUACCGUCUCUCACUAUCGUGUCUAACUCGUCCGUUUCUCCGGUCUGAAAUUCUCUAAAUCGACCAUGUGGGUCUAUGGAAUUUUCCCACUCAGGCGACGUGGGUCUGUGGAAUUGUCCGAAUCACGGAGUCGGUCUUUGGAAUUCUCCAAUCGACGAUGAAACAUAGAUUCGGUUAAAGCUCCUUAAAAAUCAAGUAAACAUUGCUUUUAUUGUUCUUAAGUUUUAUAGUGGUUAUCAAUGAAGAAUGAAAAAAACCCGUUUUUUGUGAAAAUAAGGUGUUUGAUUGUAGAAGUCGUUUGUUGCGAUUUUUGUGAAAACUCAAAAUUUACUGAGUGGGGUGUUGCAUUUAUAUACAUAAUAAAAUUCGGAAAAUGUCAAAUUUUACAAAGCAGAAAAGGAUUACAUUGAAUUGUACAUAGCAAAUGUAGUCACUAAGUGUUUAUGUUAUAAAUAAAUUGGACAAUGCAGUCGUAAGUUAUGAACAAUGUUAUUAUAAUUAUGAAUUGGUGUUGUUCAAUUGCACUUGCACUCUAUUUUAUGGAGUUGAUAUUCUGACUUUGGGCUUGUUCAAUUGCACUGUGCAUUAGAGUUUGCUCGAUGGUAAGAUGGAACAGAGGUAUUUGUCAUAGUUGCUGACAGCUGGGUCACUCAUUGUCGAAAUGCUCCAGAAAGAGAAGAUGCCCAAAAUGUGAUAAGGGGUUCGUGAAAUGGAUGGAGGUGGGAAAAAAAUAGUGCGAACAAAGGACGGAUGUUCCAUUGCUAUACUCGUAACUAUCAGCAUUUCAAGUGGUGAGAUGUUUCGCCAUAUGACAAUGAGAUAGUGCAUUAUGAAGGUGAAUCAAGUGGUUCUUAUUCGGAUGAUUACUUGUAUGCCAAUCGGCUUUGUACAUGGUGCCACCACCACUACUCUUACCGCCCUGGAUGAUUACUUGUAGAUCAAUCGGCUAACCUUCCUCCUCAACCCCCACAUUUGUAUAUGUGAAUGUGCAAUCCAAUCCCAUUAAGUAAGACCAGGAAACACUCUCCCGUUCUUAUGGAAAAAGGACUAGCAUACCACCAUAUGAAGAUUAAGAAGAAAAGUUACCCGUGUUGUUGCCGUUUUUACACUUGCCUCCCUCCACUUCAUCUUCAUUUCUAUAAUAACUGGGUUUAGGGUCCACAGCAAACGAUGGGGAUAACAAUGUGGCAUUCGUCAUCGUGUCGUCGUCGGCGUCGAUGUUACUGGCAUCGUCGGUUGGGUCUACCUUCGUUCCAUUUCUUGAGCGCGUUGGCAAGAUUUGGGAAAAAAUUGUUUGCAAAUGGUUAAUGGCGGGGGAAAAUGGGUAGGGUAUACAGAUUUUAUCAGAAGAUAUAGAAGACAAGCGUCUUCUUGUAUUACUGAAGGGGGGAGCAAUAAAACUUCCUAUUGGCUAAAAAAAAUUGUAACAUGACGACACCGGUGCUUAAUCUUGAAACCUUA
rnacentral:lncRNA from 1 species